rnacentral:rRNA from 1 species
AGAUUGAACGCUGGCGGCAUGCUUUACACAUGCAAGUCGAGCGGCAGCGCGGGGGCAACCCUGGCGGCGAGCGGCGAACGGGUGAGGAAUACAUCGGAACGUACCCCGGAGUGGGGGAUAACCCAGGCGAAAGUUGGACUAAUACCGCAUAUGCUCUGAGGAGGAAAGCAGGGGGACUUCGCAAGAGGCCUUGCGCUCUGGGAGCGGCCGAUGUCCGAUUAGCUAGUUGUGGGGUAAUGGCUCACAAGGCGACGAUCGGUAGCUGGUCUGAGAGGAUGAUCAGCCACACUGGGACUGAGACACGGCCCAGACUCCUACGGGAGCAGCAGUGGGAAUUUGGACAAUGGGGGCAACCCUGAUCCAGCCAUGCCGCGUGCGGGAAGAAGGCCUUCGGUGUAACGCUUUGGCGGAAGAAAGGCAGGCGUUGAAUACGGCCGUCGUU